rnacentral:rRNA from 1 species
CGCAUCUGUGCAUGCAGCAUAUCAAUAAGCGGAGGAAAAGAAACUAACAAGGAUUCCCUCAGUAACGGCGAGUGAAGCGGGAAGAGCUCAAAUUUGAAAUCUUGAAAGGUCACCUUUCACGAAUUGUAGUUUAAAGAAGUGUUUUCUGUUACGAUCGUAAUAUAAGUUCUUUGGAAUAGGACAUCACAGAGGGUGAGAAUCCCGUCUAUGAUUGCGAUUUGUAGCUUUGUGAUACACUUUCAAAGAGUCGGGUUGUUUGGGAAUGCAGCCCAAAACGGGAGGUAAAUUUCUUCUAAGGCUAAAUAUUGGCGAGAGACCGAUAGCGAACAAGUACCGUGAGGGAAAGAUGAAAAGAACUUUGAAAAGAGAGUUAAAUAGUACGUGAAAUUGUCAAAAGGGAAGCGUUUAACACCAGUGUUGUUUUCUGAAAAUCAACCUCUGUUAGCUUUAUGCAUGUUUGUUUAGACCUAAUCAGCUAUCUUGCAUGUUCUAUUGUUUGCAGUGGUGCACUUUUCAGUUUACAGGGUCAACACUCAGUUUUUUUUACCGUAAAAAAGUUAAAGAAAGGUAGCUCAUGGCUCCGGUCGUGAGUGUUAUAGUCUUUUUCCUAUGCGGUAGGAGAGACUGAGGUCUGCAGUGUAGGCUAUUUGGCUAGAUACUCAGGUGCUAUGUGAUACCAUUUCAUAAACAACUUGUUGAUUAUGUUUUGUCUAUUGCAUACUCGCUUGUACUAUCAUACCUACGCUUAGGAUGUUGACGAUCAGCUGAGCGCG